CCUUUUAAGCGGGGGAUCACUGGGGCUCAUGGGUCGAUGAGGAACGCAGCAAAAUUGUGCGUCAUCGUGUGAACUGCAGGACACAUGAACAUGGACAUUUGGAACGCAUAUGGCAGUCCAUGCUGUUUGGUACUUUAAUUAAUUUUAUAGUGCUGCUUGGACUACAUAUGGUUGAGGGUGG
rfam:Drosophila virilis strain TSC#15010-1051.87 Ctg01_2507, whole genome shotgun sequence.